ACGGGUGAGUAAUAUAUUGGAACGUACCGGGUAAUGGGGGAUAACCAAUCGAAAGAUUGGCUAAUACCGCAUACGCUCUGAGGAGGAAAGCAGGGGACCUUCGGGCCUUGCGUUAUUCGAGCGGCCAAUAUCUGAUUAGCUAGUUGGUGGGGUAACGGCCUACCGAGGCUAUGACGCGUAACUGGUCUGAGAGGAUGAUCAGUCACAUUGGAACUGAGACACGGUCCAAACUCCUACGGGAGGCAGCAGUAGGGAAUAUUGCGCAAUGGGGGAAACCCUGACGCAGCAACGCCGCGUGGAGGAUGACACUUUUCGGAGCGUAAACUCCUUUUGUUAGGGAAGAAUAAUGACGGUACCUAACGAAUAAGCACCGGCUAACUCCGUGCCAGCAGCCGCGGUAAUACGGAGGGUGCAAGCGUUACUCGGAAUCACUGGGCGUAAAGGACGCGUAGGCGGAUUAUCAAGUUUCUUGUGAAAUCUAACGGCUCAACCGUUAAACUGCUUGGGAAGCUGAUAAUCUAGAGUAAGGGAGAGGCAGAUGGAAUUCUUGGUGUAGGGGUAAAAUCCGUAGAUAUCAAGAAGAAUACCUAUUGCGAAGGCGAUCUGCUGGAACUUAACUGACGCUAAUGCGUGAAAGCGUGGGGAGCAAACAGGAUUAGAUACCCUGAUAGUCCA
rnacentral:rRNA from 1 species